CAGAAGGAGAGGAAAAACAAACCAAGAAGAAAAAGAAAAAACGGAAGUGCGCCUCUGACUGUUUUUUUUUUUUUUUUUU
rnacentral:ribozyme from 14 species